rnacentral:rRNA from 1 species
UACGUAGGGACCGAGCGUUGUCCGGAAUCAUUGGGCGUAAAGGGCGCGUAGGCGGCCUUGUUUGUCAGGCGUGAAAGCCCUGGGCUCAACCUGGGAGGUGCGUUUGGGACGGCAAGGCUAGAGUUCGGGAGAGGAGAGUGGAAUUCCCAGUGUAGAGGUGAAAUUCGUAGAUAUUGGGAAGAACACCGGUGGCGAAGGCGGCUCUCUGGACCGAGACUGACGCUGAGGCGCGAAAGCGUGGGGAGCAAACAGG